rnacentral:rRNA from 1 species
GAUGAACGCUGGCGGCGUGCCUAAUACAUGCAAGUCGAGCGAACGGACGAGAAGCUUGCUUCUCUGAAGUUAGCGACGGACGGGUGAGUAACACGUGGAUACCUGACCUAUAAGACUGGGAUAACUUCGGGAAACCGAAUCUAAUACCGGAUGAUAUUUUGAACCGCAUGGUUCAACAGUGAAAGACGGCCUUGCUGUCACUUAUAGAUGGAUCCUCGCUGCAUUAGCUAGUUGGUAAGGUAACGGCCUACCAAGGCUACGAUGCAUAGCCGACCUGAGAGGGUGAUCAGUCACACUGGAACUGAGACACGGUCCAGACUCCUACGGGAGGCAGCAGUAGGGAAUCUUGCGCAAUGGGCGAAAGCCUGACGGAGCAAUGCCGCGUGAGUGAUGAAGGUCUUCGGAUCGUAAAACUCUGUUAGUAGGGAAGAACAUAAGUGUAAGUAACUGUGCAUAUCUUGACGGUACCUAAUCAGAAAGCCACGGCUAACUACGUG